CCUACGGGAGGCUGCAGUGGGGAAUAUUGGGCAAUGGGCGCAAGCCUGACCCAGCAACGCCGCGUGAAGGAAGAAGGCUUUCGGGUUGUAAACUUCUUUUCUCAGGGACGAAGCAAGUGACGGUACCGGAGGAAUAAGCCACGGCUAACGACGGGCCAGCAGCCGCGGUAAUACGUAGGUGGCAAGCGUUAGCCGGAUUUACGGGGUGUAAAGCGCGUGUAGGCGGGAAAGCAAGUCAGAGGUGAAAACCCUGGGCUCAACCUGUGGCCUGCCUUUGAAACGGUUUUUCUUGAGUACUGGAGCGGCAGCCGGAAUUCCUAUUGUAGCGGUGAAUUGCGUAGUUAUUAGGCG
rnacentral:rRNA from 1 species